rnacentral:snRNA from 1 species
GUGCUUACUUAGGCAGCACAUAUACUAAAAUUAUAAUAAUACAGAGGUUAGCAUGGCCCCUGUGCAAGGAUGACACACAAAUUCGUGAAGCAUUCCAUAUUUUU